UUUAGUAAGUCUUUGUGAGGUUUGAAUGGCAUAACUUACGUAAACAGCUGGCGCCCAGUAGUUGUCCCUUGAAUUAAUUGCUCUGCCCCCUGGCUUUGAGGUGCCUUUCUCUGCACUAGCUGCAGUGGGAGUGGCAACAGCUCACUGGAACAGUCCGCAGGAGAGAAGGUGCCUUUAAAAUCAGAUGCAAAAACCAGCCAGACAAAUAAUAGUGGAUUUAUGGCUCAUUAUUUUUGAAUUUGCCCUUUGUGUACCUUUACACCAGUAGUGAAGAUAAUGGAGUCAGAGAACAUUCCUGGACAAGCCUCGGAGGACCAGGCAGAACCCUCUGGCUAGCAGAAAAGCUCGCACCCCCGCACCCUUGCGGCGUCUGCUUCAGACCCUCCACGCAGGCGCCCGCUGGAGCGCCUGCUGGGGAUGGCGUACCACCGACCCUUCAGGCUUUUUAAAAACGUAAACUUUUUUGAAGCUCAGUGUAUGUACUUUAAAAUUCGCAAAUUAUAUACAUGCAGCUUCAUGAAUUUUCAAAGUGAAUGUAUCCAUGAAACCAGUGCCCAAAUCAAGAAAUGGAAUGCCUUUUUGAAGUUUGAGGUAAUGUAAGAACAGUUAAGUUUAUAGCUUGAGACUGUUUCACAAAGUGAGCAUAUGCAUAAUCUAUAAAAAUAAAUUAUAUUCUGUAUACUAUUGUGUCUUUCAGUCAAUAUUUUAUUUAUGCAAUUUGUGCAUAUUCUCAUUGUUGAAUAAUAUUUCACUGUGUAAAUAUACCACUAUUUAUUUGUUCUUUCCUUUUCUUGUUGGUGGACAUUUGGAUAGUUUCCAAUUUUUAGUUACUACAAAUAGCAGUGUCAUAGAGGUUAUUGUACAUAUCUUUUUGUGAGUACAUUUAUCCUUUCCUGUUUGGGAUACACCUGGAAUUGGAAUAGAUUAUGCAUAUGUUCAGUUUUAGUGGUUACUAUAAAAUUGUUUUCCAAAAUGGUUGUAAUAAUUUACACUGUCACAAAUGAUAUAUUGGAGUUCCAAUUUCUUCACAUCCUCGCCAAUACUUGCCAUUUUCUAUCUUUUUAAUUUAAGCUGUUUUAAAGAUGUGUAUGGGUAUCACAUUUCAGUUUUAAUUUACAUUUCCCUGAUGAUAAGUAAAAUUGAGCACCAUUUCUUGUUAGCCGAUUAGUUACUGACUCUUUAAUAAAGUACUG
rnacentral:lncRNA from 1 species